UUGGCUGUGGCUACGGCGGGGGCGGGCCCAAGCAGAGGGCGGUGGAUUCAAGAUGGCGGCGGCCAAGGGGCGGCUUCCAGCCCAGUCGGCGGGAAGGGCAAGAGUGCGGCGGUAGCGGUCCCCUCCUGGCCGCGUCCGCUCCUGGCAGGGGGCGGUGGCAGGCACCGGAGCCCGCCCUGUGGAGCCCACGCCGGGACAGCGAGGGGGAGGAGGCGCUGCCGUUUACCUUCGCUCUCCCGGCCUCCACUUUUCUGCGCCGCUGCUCUUGCUCAUCUUCUUCCAUCUUACUCCGGGGCUCUUCGCAGGUCGCGGGGAGGUGAAGGGGCCGAUGCGCUGCCGCCUUCGCUCUAUUUACACUCCCUCCCCAUCGCCUGGGCUCACCCUCCCCCCGCGACAACUGUCACGCAGACGUGGGCCCGCCCCGCGUUCGGCCCCGCCCCGGGGCGUGCGGCCCCGCCCCGGGGCGUGCACCCCCGGCCUGCGGCCAAUCAGGGGCCGCGGUCCUGCCCUCGCGCACGCGCGUUCAGGGCGGUGCCCUCAAGGAGGCGCGGCCCGGCGGAGCUCCGCCCCUGCGUCCGUUCCUCCGAUUGGCGCAUAGACGCUCCCGCCUCUUCGGGCAGGACCAUUGAGCGGGGCGCGGCAGCCUCGGCGCUCUCUGUGGUUGGUCGGUUUGAAGGACCCCGCGCACGUGGGUCGUCGGGCCCGGCUGGGACUGGCGCGGAGGCCGGUUCGCGUUCCCGCGAGGUUGAGGCCGCCCUGGGGGGAGUCUGCGCCGGUGUCCAGUUGAGUCAAGCUUCGCGAGUCUCCGGGGACAGCCCAGGAGGCCGGGCCCCACUGCAUGCGUGCGCCAGCUCAGGGCUGCCCCUAAAAUCGCUCCGGGUUGUGGCCGUGCCCGGGGGUGGCAGAACCCAAACUUUCGUCUCCAGGGGUCCUUUCGGCGACCGGGAUGGUGGCCCUGUUCGUGUCACGAUCGCAGACAGCCAGCAAAAUCACUUGAUUCCGUUCCUAGGAGUCCCUUCUUUGGGUCCCGCUGGUGCCUGGACCCACAGAACCGGAAUGCCGGGGGCGGCCAGAGUUAGUCAGUGGGAAUCGGGGCCGGCAUCCCCAACCCACGGAGCCCAGAGCUACAGGGACAGGAAGCCACCGGCGGUGCUCCCACUCCUGGACCCAUGGAUUCUUCCCACUGGGGAUACAGUGCCAUAUCGAGGGCUCUGGUUUAAUGCGUCUGCCCCCAGCUUGCACAGUCAAGGGUCCAGUCUGGCACCGCUGCCAUAA
rnacentral:lncRNA from 1 species